GGGUCGGUAGCUCAGUUGGUAGAGCAGCGGACUUUUAAUCCGUUGGUCGUGGGUUCGAAUCCCACCCGACCCACCA
rnacentral:tRNA from 4 species